rnacentral:rRNA from 1 species
AUUGAACGCUGGCGGCAUGCCUUACACAUGCAAGUCGAACGGCAGCACGGGGCAACCUGGUGGCGAGUGGCGAACGGGUGAGUAAUGCAUCGGAACGUACCUUUCAGUGGGGGAUAACGUAGCGAAAGUUACGCUAAUACCGCAUAUUCUGCGAGCAGGAAAGCAGGGGAUCGCAAGACCUUGCGCUGAUUGAGCGGCCGAUGUCAGAUUAGCUAGUUGGUGAGGUAAAGGCUCACCAAGGCGACGAUCUGUAGCGGGUCUGAGAGGAUGAUCCGCCACACUGGAACUGAGACACGGUCCAGACUCCUACGGGAGGCAGCAGUGGGGAAUUUUGGACAAUGGGGGCAACCCUGAUCCAGCCAUGCCGCGUGAGUGAAGAAGGCCUUCGGGUUGUAAAGCUCUUUCGGCCGGGAAGAAAUCGCAUGGGUUAAUACCCUGUGUGGAUGACGGUACCGGAAUAAGAAGCACCGGCUAACUACGUGCCAGCAGCCGCAGUAAAAC